rnacentral:rRNA from 1 species
CCUUCGGGUUGUAAAGCUCUUUCGGCAGGAACGAAAAGGUAUGGGUUAAUAACCUAUGCUCAUGACGGUACCUGAAGAAGAAGCACCGGCUAACUACGUGC